rnacentral:tRNA from 1 species
GGAUGGGUGACCGAGCGGUUCGAGGUGCACGCCUGGAGAGCGUGUGGACCCCCAAGGGGUCUCGUGGGCUCGAAUUCCACCCCAUCCG